rnacentral:lncRNA from 1 species
AAGCAAUUUGCUCAUAGCCAUAGCUUUCUUGUGAAAGUAGGAUAUUAACCCAGGUGUCUUGGUGCUGGAGAACAGAACUGGCCAGAGUCCAUCCUGUCUCCCACCGGCAUCCCAUUACGAAAUGAACACAGAAAAGGCAGGUCUGCAAUGCCAACAUCUAGUAUCUAUCCCAAAGACCAGGGAGAAAGGAAGGAAAGAUUCUGGUUCUGUCCUCUUCCCCAAGGCAAGGCUGGCUGCCCUACCAACAGAGGCAAAGAGAAGAGUGUGCAAGGCUGGCUGCCCUCCCAACAGAGGCAAAGAGGAGUGUGUGUUGAAAUAUCCAUUGAAUCCCUGAGACAACUGGAUCCUGGCCCAUUGAAUCAUAAACUCAGCAGAAUCUCACAUCAUAACCCCAAAUGACCUGUUACUCACCAUGUGGCCCAGCUGUCUUCAAACUCACCAGCCUCCUGCCUUAGCCUUCUAAAUGCUUGGAUUACAGGCAUGACCCACCAUAACUGGCUUUGUUUUAGUUUCAGAGAAGAUGAAACUGAUGUGCGUCAAAAAGUUAUGGAGGCUGGGAAGACCUAGAAUGUGGCAUCACUAUUUGCUGAAAUUUUUAAUAUAAUGCCUCUUAGCCUGGUUUGGAGAAAACGUCACAGAGAGGCACCAUUUGUUGUGGUUUUACAUGAAAAUUUUCUGACCCUGAACCUGGUUUGAUGGAAAUCAUUUGCUGAGGUAAUUAUCUCAAAUUAACUACCAAGCUGAUGAAUCGCUUACUACUUAAAAGCUGUGAUGGGGAGAGGAGUAAUUGAGAGCGGCCUUGUUGGGAGGGGAUGUGGACAUUUUUUUUUUCAGCAGCCAAUCAACUUAGAGGUUUUUUUUUGUUUUGUUUUGUUUUGUUUUUGUCUUGUUUUUUUUUCUGUGUAGAAUCUGAAUGUAUUGUCACAAGGUGAACACCAG